GACGAACGCUGGCGGCGUGCUUAACACAUGCAAGUCGAACGGAAAGGCCCUGCUUUUGUGGGGUGCUCGAGUGGCGAACGGGUGAGUAACACGUGAGUAACCUGCCCUUGACUUUGGGAUAACUUCAGUAAACUGGGGCUAAUACCUGAUAGGAGCUCCUGCUGCAUGGUGGGGGUUGGAAAGUUUCGGCGGUUGGGGAUGGACUCGCGGCUUAUCAGCUUGUUGGUGGGGUAGUGGCUUACCAAGGCCUUGACGGGUAGCCGGCCUGAGAGGGUGACCGGCCACAAUGGGACUGAGAUACGGCCCAGACUCCUACGGGAGGCAGCAGUGGGGAAUAUUGCACAAUGGGCGGAAGCCUGAUGAAGAAACGCCGCGUGCGGGAUGACGGCCUUCGGGUUGUAAACCGCUUUCGCCUGUGACGAAGCGUGAGUGACGGUAAUGGGUAAAGAAGCACCGGCUAACUACGUG
rnacentral:rRNA from 1 species